UGGUAGAAUAUUUAGUAGAAAUAUGGUAGUGCUGAAGAAGAGGCAAUAAGUUUGGUGAAACGAAGAGUACAGCUGCCAUAAAAGGGACACUUAAUUACAGCAGACUCUUCAGACCAGAGAAGAAAUCCAUGGGUGGGGAAUAUGCUAGAGGUAUAUAAAAUCAGGAAUGACAAGGAGACAGUGAAAAACAACUAAUCCUUUUCUAAUACAAUAACAAGGAGGCAUUAAGUGUUCAAAACAAACAAGAGAUGCAUCUUCUUAUUGGCACAGACUUAACUUGGGGAAUUCUUUCUCACUAGUCACUGGGGGAAUUACAGGCUCGCAUGGAUUCAAAAAGCAAUUGGACAAACCCAUGAAAGGAAAAUAAAAUUUUGCUAAUAAGCAAAAGGAGACUUCCUCUGGUUUAAGAUGUUCCUGAAACGUAAGUCACUGGAGUCUGGGAGAGUUUCAUCAUAUGAUCCAAUAGGCUCACUCUUCACUUACUUACAAAUCACAGCUACCUUCAGGAGGUGCAUGGGACUUCAUGAGAUUAAACCUUUCCUGGGCAUCCACAUGGUUACACAACCCUUCAGAAUACAAAACACAGAAAGGGAAACAUGCAGGAAAAUAAGUCCCAUUUUACACUUCAUCAAGGUAAAGUAAGAAAAUGACAAUUUUUUAUAUACUCUUCAGAUUGAGAUGUUGUGGAGGAGGAGAAUGUAUGCAACAAACAAUAAGGCCCUGUGUGAUUAAGAGGUGCUCAUCAUUUUCUGAAGCGGUACAGUUAUCCCAACUGCAGGACCAAAUGAGAAGAAUGCUUUCAAAAUCAGCAUUUCAUGAUGAAAAACGCUUAUCACUGGAACACUGCAUUUAAACAACUCAGAGGAGGCCAAAUACCUGUCUUUGAAUAUAUUUGUAAUUUAUUUUGAUUUUUUGGGUAGACAUGGCAGAUGCCGGAGACAGGCACUUAUCCUUUUUCUUAUAUUGCCACCUGGUGGUCCUAGGCAUAUAGAAACAAUAAACUCCAAUUUUCUCAGUUAAAUGACCACAGUUUAGGCAUUUAAAACAGCAUUCAUUACUUUUCCUCUGAGAUGGAAGAUAAGUACUUUUUUAAUAUAGAAUUUGUAGUGGUUAGGGGCUGUUUGGAUUUACCACCAAUGCUAUAGUUUGUGUGUAGUAUAGUCAGCUCUUGAUUAUCUAAAUAAACGGCUGCAAGGGCCACCCCAGGUCACAGGGAAAUGGUUAAUAUGGACUGCAGCUCUGCUGUGGGCUCUGGCCACCCGCUUGGGCUGGCAACCCACGCUCAGAUGGAGGCAGGAGACGAGCAGAGCUUCCAGCCAGAGCCAAACUACCAUCUCUUCCUUCUGCCCUUGCCACCUCGCUAGUGGUGGAAACACGGUGCAAGGACACUUCACUAGCAUGAAGAGGGCUCUUCUGUUCCCAGAAGCAGUGUUGCCACAUGGUUGGAGCCACGUCUGUGUUCACAUCUCAGAGUUGCCAGAGUACACUGCAUAGUGGAUACAGAAAGGCUCCAGGUCUCCAGAGACAUGUUAAAAUCUGCAGCUCUCAGUCUCAGGGUUGCAUUGCCACCACACACAGCCAAGCACAUGUAAAAGAAUACUGUAGGAAAGGGACAUAAUAAGGCUAGUUUAAAGAAGAAAGCAUUAUAGACUUGGACUUCAUAGCGGAAGAAAUUGUACAAUAGACUUUAAACUGGUCUAUUGUAAUGGGACCAUAAGUACUGGUUCAGUUCGGGGCACCCCAGUACUGGAAAGAUGUUAAGCUGGGCCAAGCGCAUCAGAGGGCCACCAAGGCGCUGAGGGAGGUGGAGCAGUUGCCCUGUAAGGGGAGGCAGAGGGAUGGGGCUGGUUCUGCCUGGGGAAGAGAGGGCUUUGGGGGUACCUAGUAGCAGCAUUCUGAUACCUAAGGAGGAGGAUGG
ensembl:lncRNA